GGGGUCCCUCAUCUUGGACCUAGAUCAUCCUCCUCGCGAUCCUCUGUCACUCCAUCUGCUACCACCUACUCCAGAAAACCACCAAAGCUGAGUUAUCGUCAUCUGAGCUCGAAGCUUGGUUCUCUUGUCUGAGAAUCUCAUUCUGAAGAAUCAUCAUAGUGAUAUCAUCCAUCUUGAUGGUGCUCUUUUCUACUAGAAGAACAGUCACCAAGGACUCAUACGA
rnacentral:lncRNA from 1 species